rnacentral:rRNA from 1 species
CGUGGCUUCCGGAGCUAACGCGUUAAGUCGACCGCCUGGGGAGUACGGCCGCAAGGUUAAAACUCAAAUGAAUUGACGGGGGCCCGCACAAGCGGUGGAGCAUGUGGUUUAAUUCGAUGCAACGCGAAGAACCUUACCUGGUCUUGACAUCCACAGAACUUUCCAGAGAUGGAUUGGUGCCUUCGGGAACUGUGAGACAGGUGCUGCAUGGCUGUCGUCAGCUCGUGUUGUGAAAUGUUGGGUUAAGUCCCGCAACGAGCGCAACCCUUAUCCUUUGUUGCCAGCGGUCCGGCCGGGAACUCAAAGGAGACUGCCAGUGAUAAACUGGAGGAAGGUGGGGAUGACGUCAAGUCAUCAUGGCCCUUACGACCAGGGCUACACACGUGCUACAAUGGCGCAUACAAAGAGAAGCGACCUCGCGAGAGCAAGCGGACCUCAUAAAGUGCGUCGUAGUCCGGAUUGGAGUCUGCAACUCGACUCCAUGAAGUCGGAAUCGCUAGUAAUCGUGGAUCAGAAUGCCACGGUGAAUACGUUCCCGGGCCUUGUACACACCGCCCGUCACACCAUGGGAGUGGGUUGCAAAAGAAGUAGGUAGCUUAACCUUCGGGAGGGCGCUUACCACUUUGUGAUUCAUGACUGGGGUGA